GACGAACGCUGGCGGCGUGCUUAACACAUGCAAGUCGAGCGGUAAGGCCCUUUCGGGGGUACGACGAGCGGCGAACGGGUGAGUAACACGUGGGUGACCCGCCCUUAGCUCUGGGAUAAGCCUGGGAAACUGGGUCUAAUACCGGAUAUGACUCCAUGACGCAUGUUGUGGGGUGGAAAGCCUUGUGCGGCUAGGGAUGGGCCCGCGGCCUAUCAGCUUGUUGGUGGGGUGAUGGCCUACCAAGGCGACGACGGGUAGCCGGCCUGAGAGGGCGACCGGCCACACUGGGACUGAGACACGGCCCAGACUCCUACGGGAGGCAGCAGUGGGGAAUCUUGCGCAAUGGGCGAAAGCCUGACGCAGCGACGCCGCGUGAGGGAUGACGGCCUU
rnacentral:rRNA from 1 species